AUUGAACGCUGGCGGCAGGCCUAACACAUGCAAGUCGAGCGGAUGAAGGGAGCUUGCUCUUGGAUUCAGCGGCGGACGGGUGAGUAAUGCCUAGGAAUCUGCCUGGUAGUGGGGGAUAACGUCCGGAAACGGGCGCUAAUACCGCAUACGUCCUGAGGGAGAAAGUGGGGGAUCUUCGGACCUCACGCUAUCAGAUGAGCCUAGGUCGGAUUAGCUAGUUGGUGGGGUAAAGGCCUACCAAGGCGACGAUCCGUAACUGGUCUGAGAGGAUGAUCAGUCACACUGGAACUGAGACACGGUCCAGACUCCUACGGGAGGCAGCAGUGGGGAAUAUUGGACAAUGGGCGAAAGCCUGAUCCAGCCAUGCCGCGUGUGUGAAGAAGGUCUUCGGAUUGUAAAGCACUUUAAGUUGGGAGGAAGGGCAGUAAGUUAAUACCUUGCUGUUUUGACGUUAUCAACAGAAUAAGCACCGGCUAACUUCGUG
rnacentral:rRNA from 1 species